CCUAAAUAGCUGUCUAUUAGACAUCUAGUAUCAUUAGCCUCAGACUUACAUUAGGCAUAGCAAUUAAGGUGAAUUGCACUACAGAGCACUCAGUUUUAAUGGCUAAUNCAAGUUGAUCUUAGUUGAAUUGCAAAUGUUAUUUGUGUUUUUUAAUGGUAUAGAGACCUCCCAGUUUUGAUAAUAUAGCACUCCAUACUUAAGUUGUAUGCUUUGUCUUUUAAAAGCCAAG
rnacentral:misc_RNA from 1 species